rnacentral:rRNA from 1 species
ACUGCGAGUGGCGUCAUUAUAUAAGUUAUCGUUUAUUUGAUAAUACUUUACUACUUGGAUAACCGUGGUAAUUCUAGAGCUAAUACAUGCUAAAAAUCCCGACUUCGGAAGGGUUGUAUUUAUUAGAUUAAAAACCAAUGCCCCUCGGGGCUCUCUGGUGAAUCAUAAUAACUAGUCGAAUCGACAGGCCUUGUGCCGGCGAUGGCUCAUUCAAAUUUCUUCCCUAUCAACUUUCGAUGUUUGGGUCUUGUCCAAACAUGGUGGCAACGGGUAACGGAGGGUUAGGGCUCGACCCCGGAGAAGGAGCCUGAGAAACGGCUACUACAUCCAAGGAAGGCAGCAGGCGCGCAAAUUACCCAAUCCCGACACGGGGAGGUAGUGACAAUAAAUACUGAUACAGGGCUCUUUUGGGUCUUGUAAUCGGAAUGAGUACAAUUUAAAUCCCUUAACGAGGAACAAUUGGAGGGCAAGUCUGGUGCCAGCAGCCGCGGUAAUUCCAGCUCCAAUAGCGUAUAUUAAAGUUGUUGUGGUUAAAAAGCUCGUAGUUGAACCUUGGGCCUGGCUGGCCGGUCCGCCUCACCGCGUGCACUGGUCCGGCCGGGCCUUUCCCUCUGCGGAACCCCAUGCCCUUCACUGGGUGUGGCGGGGAAACAGGACUUUUACUUUGAAA